AUGGUUUUACAUAUUUUUUUGGGUGCAGAAGAGGGGUGUUUAGGUAAGAAGUCAUCAGGUCAUCCUUAUUAUCAAACCAAGUUUUUGAAUUUCUGUUGUAAUCUUGGUUAUAGGGAGUGUCUUUAUAUAAGAACACUUUUAAAAUGUUGCCUAAAUUUGAGUUUCAGAACACUGUACUUUUCUCAGCUAGCAGUUUUGGCUUUUGUUGGUUACUCAUUCAAGCUAUUGGGAAACCCAAACCAUCUCUGGAUAUCAGAAACUGCAUGUUCUAGAAGGAGUUAGGACUUUUCAUGGGUGAAGAGAAUCUGGUAAAAGGCAUUGGCUGCAGGAAAAGAGAGAUGGCCAGAAACUGCCUGUCAUUCUCUUGGUGCUCACAUCUUCAACUUGGUAACGCAGUUCUCAGAUAAGAAUUUAUCUGAAUUGUUCAGUGUGAUAUAAGAUACUUGUUUAUAGUGUUUGUUUUGUCUUUUUUUUGUGCUUUCCAUGUAUCUUUUCAUGCAGUCCUCAAAAGGAACCUGGCUUUAUCUUUAUUUUACAGGUUAGGAAACUGAUGAUCCAAGUAAGUUAGGUAACUGGCUUACGUUACAUAGUUUGUAAGUGAAGAGCCACUAUAUGAACUCAGAAAAAAUUCAUAGGGACUGGCUCCAGAGCCCUCCCUCAUUUUCCUCAUCUGUAAAUAGUAAUACAACUCCUGCUUUACACAGCUGUGAAUAUUAAUAGAGCUAAUGCAAAAAGGUACCUCCAACAAUGCUUGGCACCUAGUAGGUACCCAAUAAUUGAUAGCUGCUAUUAGUAACAAUUUCUCUUAAUAACUAUCAUAAUGCUAAGAGGAUAUUUAGUAUUUUUAUUUUAAGCCCUGUUGUAUUUUCUUUAUUAAACCAGUCAAAAAGAGGGGGGAGGUAUGAAACUGGAAUAAGGAUGGAAGUUGAAGUAUUACAAAUUGCCAUAUUGACCCUCAUUACCUUUAAGUCAUAUUAGUGAAUCUUCAAGUAUUUUCACGUGUAAAAAGGGGGAAAUCGAGCAGUAUCUUGAAGUAGGGCUGUCCUUCAUGUUUGCCACUCUUCCCCUUAUUUUAAUUUUCAUCCUGUACUCUCAGAGAUCAGAAGGGCUGAACUCAAUAAGCAAACUAUCUUUGGAACCUACAUACCUGGGUGGCCCUAAGCUUUUCUUUUUAAUGGCAGCUCCAAAUGCCAUAAAAUUCAAAUUUUUGUUUUUCUUAAAUGUAGAAUAUCGCAAGAUACAAAAUAAUCCAUAAACUGUGUGCUUUAGUCACAGAAAAUCAUUGUUAGGUGUUUUUUUUUUAAUGUAUUUCUGUAAUUCUACAGAUUUUUCAGUGAUUUGGAAGAAUGAAAAAUUGAAAGUCUACAUUGGUGACAUGAAGAUUGAGGGCCUUUGUUACAAGUUAGGAACUGAACUACUAAGGAAAUUAUGUUUUACCUACACAUUUUUUCUCAUUGAUCCUCUUCUGUUGGAAGUUAAAACUUUAGAAAUGAUUUUUUAUCCUACCAAUCAUUUCUACUAUUUUUGGUUAUUCUUUUUUUUUUCCUGCUUCUUAGAUAAGGACAGGAAGCAUCCAUAACUUCAUUUUUGGGAAUUUUUGUUUGCAUGUCAUCCAGGAAAAAAUUUACACACUUAUUUCUAAACAUUUUAAAAAUAAAUUCAUAUACAUGUAAUUUUUAAAUUUUUUUUCCACUAAAGCCCUCAAAUUUUGAACCUAAAAUAAGUACUUUCCACAGGAGCCCUGGGUUGAGUUUAGGAUGCAAUAACGUUACAUUAUUUUUUACUCUUCUNNNNNNNNNNNNNNNNNNNNNNNNNNNNNNNNNNNNNNNNNNNNNNNNNNNNNNNNNNNNNNNNNNNNNNNNNNNNNNNNNNNNNNNNNNNNNNNNNNNUGGGUUGAGUUUAGGAUGCAAUAACGUUACAUUAUUUUUUACUCUUCUUUAAAUAUCUUUAUAUUUCUGAGGGUUGGACUUUGUUUCUUUUGCAGGUAAGUUGGCCACCUCUGUAACAUCAGAUGUUCCAGAUUAAGAAAAAAAAAACAUGAAUAAUAAUUUUUAAAAAUGAAUAAGCCUGCUUUUUCCCCAUCUAAAGAAAGCCCCUCUAAGUAAGCAGCUAUGACACGCGUGCCUCAGGAGUGCGGAUAUUACUGCUAUGUGAAACAUGCUGAUUAAAAUCCUUGUUUCUGUCUCAGGCUGCAGAUUUUUCACACAGUUUGAAGUAACAGUAAUGCUAAGAACACUUAAUUAAAAGCGCUUGAUGUGGUCUGCUACUGUUUCAAGUACCUCAGGUGCUUUAGUGCAUUAAGUAGCCCUUUAUUUUACCGUCUUUACCCAUCACUUGAGCAAAAGCUGUAUGCGCAAUGUGUGUAUUGCGGAAGGGUGCUAAGUUUUGUGGGCCAGUGCUUGAGUAAACAAUAUCUAACAGAAAACAGUAUUUUCUAGGAAUGCUGUACAUUCACCUAAGCCCUAGCUUCUCGCCCUGCCCAGGCAAAGAAAUCAUAAAGAGGGAGGGAGAGACCAACAGCUUGAAUUAAAACUAAUUAGACUUGGGGGUGGUGGGGUGGUGAGGAGGGGUGGGGGUGGUAGUGAAUGAAUCACUUCCAGGAGCAUUGGAAAGGGAAAUAUAGAAAUUUGGAGUCGUGUCUCUAAAACAUGUAAACGGAUUCGCCUCGGUCUCUCUCUCCUCCACUGCAUCUUACACUGAUUUCAUGGUCUCCUCUUUGCUGAACGAGCUCAAGUAACCCGGGAGCACGCGCUGAUCUCCCGUGGUGGGCUUCGGGCCGACACCUGGGACAGCACCUGGGCUGCAUUUCCUCGCCUGCCAGUGGUUUCCUCCGCGCUAGGCGUCCCGCUCAGCGGCGGCUUCCCAUUCAUGCUUUUGACAGCCGCGCGGCCGCUCGCGAGCUGAGAGCGAAGAGCUCCUUGAAUCCGCCCCUGCUCUCUGGAUUGCACCCGGGCGGGAAGGCCCGACAGCUACGCCGCCCGCUGGUGCCCCGGGGCCGGCCGGCCGGCUGGUUCCUCCAUAGGUGGCUGCGUUUCCGACUUCGCCCUGGCUCCACUCCGGGGGCUUGACGUGCAAACUUCGCCCGAGAGAGCUGAGAGGGAGGGACCGGCGAGGGGGAGGAGGCGGCGGGAGGCGCCUCCGCUUAAGGGAGCCGGCCGGGCGCCGCCGCUCGGACGGACGCGCGGACGGA
rnacentral:lncRNA from 1 species